AUGGGCAGGCAAUUUCUACCGUACCAAGUAAAGCAAUACAUUAUUUUAGACGUAAUUGGGAACGGUACUUUGCUCAUCUAGUAAUUGAAAUCUAUAAUACUUUUUAAAAAAAACGAGCGCAGGUCCGCAAGCUGCAAGCCCUUGACUGCACAGAUGCGCCGAAGGUCAGUGACAAAGUGAAUGAUGUAACGACCACAAUUGUUUGUGAAAGAAAUAAGAAGGAAAAGUUCAAAGCGUUUCAUCCACUCAAAGAAUAGCGACUUCGAAAGGCCAUGCAUCAAACGCACUGCAAAGGUGACCACAAUUGGCGAGGACUGACGUGUUCUCAGGUCGCAAACUUAAGUCUGUAAUGUUAUAUUCGAAAUUCACGCAUAGCAGAGUUAAAGAAACAGCUGCUUGUUUCGACUCAAAAGCAAGUAUGAGUGCUCUUUAGAUUUUUUGGACUAAUUAAAGGUCAUUUGCUUUCGCGCAACAUCUUUUUUUUAUAACUAUUGUUUGUUCUUCCUGUUUGACGAAUAUUUUAAGCUCACACAACUCUCCUAUAUAACAAGUCGUAUCGUUCCACGGCGUUCGCACAACACAACCCUGCUGGUUCAAGGGAACAUCUAAUCCGGUGCGGUGUCAGAAACUUUGGAAGUUGCGUCCACGUGCACAACCCUCAUUACAAAUGGCAAGGUUGCUGUCCGGGUCGUCCCAUCUGCUAACGUAAUUUCGAAGUUAAUCGAAGUUACCACUUUUGCGAAUAAAAUUGUUUUCCUACAA